ensembl:lncRNA
CUGCCAAGGUGACUAUUUGUGGUCUGGUAGCUUUCUUUGAGGAAAAAUUCAGGAGCUGGGCUCCUUCCAUUUCGUGAACUACAUUGUAUGGCCUCCUCUACCUAGGUCUUUGGAAUCGUCACUAUUCAGCUGAGAGGUGGAAACAGAGGCAGGACAUAGCAAGUGGGAGAUUAUUAUGGGCCGGGCCUAGAAGCAGCACAUAUUUCUCCGGCUUCCAUUUCGUUUGCCAGGACCUGGUCACUGCUAGACACCUGACAGAAUCGGCAUAAAGGUACCCCUAAUGCAAGACCCAUUCAGAGAGCUGGUUUACCUAUGGCCUGAAAACCACCGUGACAUACAGAAAGACCCUCGCAGGGGGAAGAACUUAAAAGUCCCUUUGAAAAUGGAAGCAUCCAACAGUUCUCUGGUGACCUGAAUGGGAAGGGAGCCAGCCUCCAGCAAAUCUCUUCGUGAGGAGUGAGAAGCAGGACCAUGAAGCCGGCAAUAAAUAAAGGCCCAGCACAGAGAGUGCAGUGAGGAUGGAAACUGGCUGUUUUGUCCAGCUACAUCAAGAAAUAAAAAUGUCUGUG